AACGUUGGCUUAGAUAUUUUUUCUCUCUCUACACACGACGAUUUUUAUAUAUUGAACUCAAUAAAAACUUUGCCUGAUCCAAUAAAAACUUUGCCUGAUCCUUCACUUUGAUGCACUCUAUUCUAAUUCUUUCCGUUCAGUUGCCCUAGAUCUUAUUAUUCAUGGCCUCUUUAUCUGUAAUGCAUAUUGUUCCAAAAGAGAUUUUCAUGCCGAUUGUUUUUCUUGAGUUGAAGUUUUUCUCUUGUUUGUUAAACAACUAUGUUCAAUUCUUGCUUUCUUCCUUUUUACUUGAUUUCUAUGCUUAAUAUUUUGCUGUGUUUUCUCUUGCCUUUGUUUUUCGUGCAGUUUUUCUCUCUGUUGCUCGCUCUAUGGUAGACGUUUCUACGAUGAAUCUUUGAACUGUUCGUUUGCUCAGGGCAAAGCACAAAUAUGCUGGAUUGGAUACUUAAGAAAGAGAAAGGGUGCCAAAGCUUAAAGCUCUGGUUUUUGGUUUUUCCACCUACCAGAGUUCUUCUGUCUUGAAGAUCUCACAUAUAUAUUCUGCAAACUAGGAAGUGGCAGUUGGCAAGUAGUUGCAAUGGACCAAACAGAGAGAACCUGCAGAAUGGAUCAAAGCAAUCAUGAGUGAAUGUUGUCUACUUUAGAUAUCCUGCAUUUGGCAGUGUAAAGGCCAAACUUUUUUGGAGGAUGCAAUCCAGAAAGCAUGUUGAAUUGUGGACCUCCUAAGCAACAGUUGGACCAAGGUCAAGAUAGACAUAGACGACUGGAAGGAGAAAAAAUAAAGACAUCAAGUGGUAGAAAAACCAAGAUGGUUAUGGUGCUGAAGGGAUUGGGUAUAGCAAGGCGUGGGAUCCAAUCCAUGCUUCAAAACUUGAGGGUUAGUUGAGCAAGUUAGGGUGCUGUGGCAAAAUACUGUUCUAUGAGGCCCUCAUGAAUAUGCUACUGAAAGUUACAGCAGCUGGUUGCAAACUUCUAUUUCAAAUUUUGCCGGUAAGUUUCUUUUGCAUUUCUUGUGUACCACUUUUUCCCCUUUUAGAUAUCAGACUUAUAAUAAUAAAGUGGUUGCAAACUGUAAAGAAGUAGAUGAAAAUCUCUUGAAAGAUGAAGUUAAUGAUAGGGAUAGGUUCUACAGAUGGGAACACUCAAUCCCUCAUUGAGCGCCAUAUUUGCUUGAAUUGCUAUGAUGCCUUGAAAGUUCAACAUCAACAAAGGAAUUCUUUUGCAUUGUAGCAAAUUUUGUAUUGUGACUAAACUACUGCCUGUGCAUUAGCAGACUAACGAUCUUCUAUUUCUAGUACUAAUCACUGCAUCUCAAACAAAAAAUAAGUUGAGGUAGAAAAUAGAAGUUCAUUUAUUUUGAAGUUCCUAGGCACAGCAAGAACUACAACUGCAUUGCAUGGGCUGUAAUCAUAGCAUGGCAAAUAUAGGCAAACUUCUAUUAAAAAAAUUUUUCUUAGGUAAAUUGUUCAUUUUUUGUACUUCAGAGCUAUCUCUUUGUGGCAUCUUUUUGUUUAUACCAUAUGAAAAAUUAGAUCACAUCGCAUGAUAGUAUGGCUUGAUGAAGUUCAGCCAGGUUGUAUAUGAUCAAAAUGAUAUUGAAUCCAAUGAAUAGAAGCUCGAGAUUUUAACAUUUUGGGUGAUGCUAGAAAGUCAU